UUUAAAGAAUCAGUCUUAUAUCUGCUGUAUGGUAAUAAAAUGCAAUGCAAUAUUGGUGGGUAUGUAGAAGCUCUACUGCAAUACCACCAACACCCAUCUCUGAUGUCAUGGGCCAGCAUAACAACAUAGAAGGCAUUACUUUCAGAGCAGCCCUCAUAUUUAAUCUCAACACAGCAGUGUCCCUGGAAGUCCCACUCUAAGCCCCACCCAAAGUGCAGGGCACAGACAGGGAUGCUUCAGGGAUGACCCCCUCCAAGCGCUGCAUGGUGCCUCCUUAAGGCUGGCUAUGUCCCAUGGUCCUUCUCAGCCCAGGCCACUCUAUGAUUCUGUGAUCACAAGACUGGCUUGGAUUCACCCUAAAACUCCCCAGCACAGAGCACAUAAGAACUGCUGUGGCACUGUGGAAUGAAGGGUGAAGAACAAGAUGGCACGAAACACAUCAAGAAGGAUGCUGGCAGUGAGAAACCAGAGACAUCUGCUGCACUCACAUAUGCCUCACUGACUGAAAUCAAGCAAAAGCUGACAGACCUCAUCAGCGCUGAUGGGUUUGUUUUGCUGGUACUGCUCAGCUGGUUGUUGGGGCAAGGGAUUUAGCUGCAAAGCAAGAAGAGUCCCCGCAGCAGCCUGCUUAUGAUGGUAUUAAUAUGCAUAUUAAUUGCCCUCACACUGCUUGAGUGACAGAGCUAUACAAAGCAGCACAGACUCACAAUGUUUAAAACACGCACUGAAAAUUUGCAGCUCAAAACCAUUAAGAAGCAAUAGCAUCUAUUUCAGAAGUCAUUUUAACUUUCUUAAGGUAUAGAACCAUUUCUUGUCCUACAACUUCUCCCACUGAGCUCUUUAUUUCUGUGAUUCCAGUACAGUAUAUCGCAAUUAUCGCCAAUCUUCUGCCAGUUACAGAAUCAUUAAGGUUGGAAAAGAUCACUAAGAUCACCUGGUCUAACUGUCAGUGAGCAGCCUUUCCAUAAUGAGGCAAAAAGGAGGAAGGAAAAUCUACAGAAAUUAAUUCAUCAAAUCAAAAAUGCCCACCUAACUGGAUUCUGAAUUCAUCUGUUAUUCUGUACAGCUUAAAUAAGUGCGAUGGUAAAACUGCAAGAGGGAAGAUGUGGAUACACAGCUCAUCAGGAUGACUGUGACCGACCAAUGGAAACACAUUGGCAGCACAUUUGUUGUCCUCCACACUACCACCUCCUUGACCAACCCCAGGAGCAGUUGCUAUCUCUUGUGGGCAAAUAAUCCGUGCUGUAGUUUUCAUAGGACAGAUUAAUGGUUAACACUGGACCAUAAGGUGAAGGAAAUGAAUUCUCCUUCAAGUCCUGCUGAAGAACUAAGUUCUGUUGGCUUCUCAUGUUCCCACUCAGGUGCUGAGUUCUGCUGAAGAAAAACAGUGCAAUGUGUGUGUUUGUAAGGAAAGGCCCAGCCACAGGAGCUGGAUGGCAAGGCAGUUCCCCGCAGACUCUGAAGCAAAUAACCAACAUCUCAUCUUUCUCAUUCGUAUACUGAGAUAACCCUGUUUCACAUGCAUGUGUUCAUUCAGACGGGGAUAUACUGAAAUUAUGCAAUAUAGUGAAUGAUAUUCUUAACUACAUCCAGCAAUCUUGGGCUUGGCCCAAUGCAUGCAGAUACAAAUACUCUAACAACCAGACAGAUAAACAUCCCGCUCUAAUUGCUGGCAGAGUCUUGCUGCUUUGGCACAGGCCUGAGCCACAAUGCACUUUAGAUACCUCCCUUUACAAACUGUAAGUAACAAGGGCUAAAAACUCACCACCAAUUCUUGUAAGGACACAAAAAGAAUACUACAAAGUAUCAGUAUUUGAGACACAGGGAUAUACCUCAAAAAAAAAAAAAAAAAAAAAAAAAGUGACCAGUGAAGGCAUCUAUCACAUCAUUAAGGUUGCUUUGGAAAGUUACUUUUUAAAGUUAUCAUUUACUGACUUAUCAUAACCCCAAAAUGAAGUAGGCUUUACCAUGUUCUUGAAUGCAAAUUACUUGAAUGCAGAUCUGUUGCUGUUUCUUCUCCCUUUGCAUCAUUUUUGACAAAGAACUCCAAGAAGGCUCAAAGUCAAAUAAUUAUAAUUAUUUGCUUUUCUUUUGCCUCACUUUGUCCCCCCUCAUUAUUCCCAAAACUUGUGUUCCAUGGCCAUUUUCAGCUCCAGUCUUUCAAAGAACUUUGGUUCAUUCUUGGCUUUAAGCAUACCAAGUUAUCUCAUUCAGUUAGCAUACAGAUAGCCUUCGCUUUGGUUUCCACUCAAAUUAAUGGUUCCCUCAGGAUCCUGUCUGAUAAUUUUAAUGCAUGUUGAAAGCUGACAGACAAACAAAUUUCUACAAACAGUUUAUUUUUUAAAAGCCACUGACUUUACUACUUCUGACAAUGGAACGGAUAAGCUCCCAGCGUUGUACUGAAGGACUGCUGCCUAUUUACAAUAGGUUAUAUUAAAAAUUGCUCUAAAAAUUACAUCUAGGAAGCAGAUACCAGUAAAAAGGAAAACCAGGAUGCAUCAUUUCCCGGAGCUAAUAUAAACAAUAGACCAAUUGCCACCUCCCUGCUGUAGUUACAAACAUGUAAUUUGCACUUAAGUAAGCUGUAUUACUCCACAUUCACAUUGAUGUAAGAGAAAGAUGAUGCAAACUCACGAGUCUACAUAAAAACGUGGCUUCUCUGUAACUUUCUGAAAUACAUAGAGUAUAUUUACUCUUCACAAAGAAAGUUGGAUACUUACAUAUGGGCAUCUCAAAACCAGAUACUACAUUUUGCAAAAUAUCUUUUGAACUGCGAUGAAAGUUUAACUUCUGAAAGUUUUACUUUAACUCUUAGUUUAACCAUCUAACCAGAUCUGCUACAAGUGAAAUAAACAAAUCAAACUUCGUUAACAAAGCCACUUCAGGAAUCCUCUGUACGUUCUUUUGGCCCCUCAACUUGUGCUCUACAGGCAAAUAUUUCAUCAGGACAGUUGGUAAUAAAAAUAAAUAAUUAUAGCGCUGACUUAAGCCUGAAACUUUGUGAUGUAGAUACAUUUGAAUAAAACACACCUAACUAAGAAUUCUGUUUUUUGCCCUUGGUAAAACAGGGAAGCUAGAGCAACAAAACUUCUGGUUUGGGUGUAUCGGUCUGGUGCAUAAAGUUUGGAGGGAUGAAUCUAGCUCAGAAAACUACAUAGAACUGGUUGAAGAUGGAGAAGAUCUGAAGGUGCCUCCUUUACAGGAUCCCAAUUGGAUCCUACAGUCUCUGUAGCAUUUUCUUCCCAAUUAUAAAUAAAACAGCAAAGAAUGAAGCACGAGUCAAACUGUGCUCCAGGAUGUAUGGAGUAGGAAUUUGCUCCUUGGUUCUCCAUUUGGAAAACAAUGCAUGUAGAGGUAAGUGGAAUUUCAUAUCAACCAUACUUCAUUGUUUCAAAUCCAUUACAGUUAUGCUGUGUAACAAACUAGUUCAUUCAACACUGGAUGUCAACUCUUUCACUAAUCAUUUUGCAGAAAAAAAAAAUCUACAUGUUAAGUUAAAAUUUAUAACUCUCAACAUUACAGGUGAAAACAGGAAGAAAUUGAAGACACAGUAAGAAGGUGUAUUUCAGAGGAAAAAAGAAAAAAUAUUUUAGGUAUUAUUUUGGCUAGGCAUGUGACAUCAGGGAGAAUUUGGUUAUUUCAGAAAAGAACAUUUGUAGCGAUGGUCCUUGCAAAGAACAUCCUUUUUGUAGUAGAUAACAUAAUUCUGUAUAAGUUGUUUCACAGGUUGAGAAAACACUUUACGUAAUACAAGGUAAUAGCGAGGCCUGUAAAAAUAAUUUUGAAGUGUAAUAUAAAGAGGUGUGCUGAAUACUCCAUUUUUAAGCACACAGAUGUAGGAACUUCUCUGAAGCCGUCAGACUGGGGAGCUUUAUUUCUUUUUCAUUUCUUUUUUCCAAAUUAAGCUGUGUAAGCAUUUCAAAAGGAGAAAUCAAUUCAUACCUGUAUAGUCAAGUAGGCACCUAACUGUUUCUAUAGGAUCAUUAGCUACGAUAGCUAGAUCCUUAGCAAUAUCUAUGAUAUACAAAAGAAUAAAUAACUGGAAUUCCUGCAUGACACCUGGGGAUGAUAUAAUGCUAUAAUUCACCAGGCAAAAGCUCAAAUGCAAAAAUACUGUCUUGUAAAUUAAACCUUAAGAAAAAAAAAAAGAAAAAAACAAAAGAAGAGAGGGAUCUGGUUCAUUUAAUCAUGAAGAUAACUGAACACAGUGGCAACUACAAUACUAACAUACAAAGGCGGUACAGGAAGGUCCUCAAAAAAAGGUGUUGUGCAUAAUGAAGGAAGACUCAUUUAUUUUACUUUAGUUAUGCCCAAAGAAUAAUUGAGGUUAUUUCUGUUGUCCAUUGAAAUAGUCCUGUGUCAAACUGUCUGUUCCACUGUAUUUAGCAGAGGGCAACCACUUCACAUUGGUAAAUUGAGUUUUGUUUGAAGAAUAGUUAAAAGUUAAUGUAUUUCAAAACUAAAAACAUGAAAAACAGAUAUGCUGCAUCUUCCUUCCCUUAUGUGCCCUUUUAAAAAAUGGACAUAUAAAAAAUACUGAGCCUGAUGGUGAGAAUAUCCUAAAAAUACUUACUGCUUUAUGUAAUAUUUCCUCUAUCACUUUUGCUGCCUUCUUUUUCCCAACUCUAUACCAAAAUCAGGAAUUCCUGCAGUUAAAAUGAAGCACUUUGUAGAGAUAAAUGGACAAAAAAAGGGAAGACGAGAAGCAGUGGAAGAUUUACGUUGACUGAAACUGUGAUAUCCUCUCUACCUGUACCACAGUAACAGUGUUAUUGCGUAGAAUGUAUGCAAUACAUGAUGUACAUGUACAGUAUUAAUUCCUCAAAAAUAGCCAAAUAAAUCAGGCUUUAGUAACUUUUUUCCAUAAUCUUUAUUUCUCUAUUAUUCACUGCAGGAGUUCUGUGCAAAACAAACUGAAGUUAAAACCUUCACAUGCAGGCUCAGAAGAUGAGAAGGUAAAACUAGCAUUCUUAACAACUUAAGCCAAAAAAAGCAUUGGAAGUUAUAUUAUAGUUAUCUGGCAUGCAGCUCUCACUUUACUACUGCAUUCUUCAACUAAGUGAAAUUAAAUGGAAAAAAAACAUGCUUUCUAGAAAGGCAAGACCUAAGACACACAUUCAAUGCAGUUCAAGCCAAAACCUUCAGGCUCUCAUGAAACUCCACAUGGACACAUAAGAGGAAGAUCACUGAUAUAUGGUAUAAUUCAAUGGAACAUGCAUUAAAACUUUUCUGAAAGUAGUUGCCUCUUAAUUGCAACAGUGCUGAGAGAGAACUGCUGGGGAGAAAAAGCAUCCGCUGUUCAAAAGGAAGAAUAUUCAGAAGUGUUGCUGUCACUUGAUUGUUAACUCAAGGAAAAUUUUCAACCAACCAUAAUGCAAUACAAUUAGUCAAAUCUGACUGUGAAGGGAGUUAUUACCUCAGAGCGUAUAUGCUGGAGAGACUACAUGUAGUGACAGAAACACUCUCAUAGUCACUGCUGGAGAUGGAGCUGAGGGGGGAAUCACGUAAGCCAUCCUGAGAACUGAAAAAACAUAUGGAAACAAAAUGAACUGCUGAAGAGAACAAAGGUAAAAAACAGAGCAGUGUGGUAACAUGUGGGUUGUCAUUGAUUAUACAGAAUUAAGAGUAAAUUGACAAGUGUAUUUUUGUUCCUCUGUGUUAUCUACUUUGGCUUCUUCCCAAAGGGACAGGCAAUUUGGCAAAGCUGGUGAGCACACAUCUUAUAAAACUCCUCAGUUUAAUUUAUGACAUACAGUUAAAUCACUCAGGAAAGAACCAAGGAUUUUGCAUUUUCACAGGUUGUAGACAGAACAGUGAGCCCGCACUGUUUUCAUCUUAUCACAAAGGCAUAGCAUCACUGGAGGUCCAUAACGUCACUGUAUACUUCACGGCAAGAUCAUCAUCAAUAAGAUCCAAGAACUUCUGAAACACCACAAGUUUGAUCGAGUUUUCCACAGAAUGAGAAUGGGACGGAAAAAGUCCAUGAGAAAACAGACAGCUGACUCUUAGUAAAGGAGAUGGGGACUUGCUAUGCAUUCAUCUCUAACUUGUGGCUCCACAUCAACCAGAUGAGCAUGAAGUAGAAGUCCCAUGACAAACCAUGGAAACUUCAUUAAAGGAAAUCCACUAGCUACUAAAUCAGAGAACACGAAUAACUUAAGUUAGUGGUAUACAACUUGCUUCUGUCGUCUCGGGACUAAAAAAAGCCUUUAAAUGGUACGUUGCUUCAGAUCUCAUUGACAUUAUCAACAAUUAUCAACAAGAUCGUUGAUAUUAUCAACACAAACUGGGAUUAGGAGGUUAAAAGUAGUUUCAUAACUGGUCUUGGAAAGACCAAUUUUUUUUUGUUUCAAUAACUAUUUAGUGCUCAGCUACUGAAAACUGCACCAAGCAGAGGAAAAUUAAAUUACAUGAUAAGAAAAUAUGUAAUCUUGAGCAAACGUAUCAAAGCUGUAUCAGCUCUAGGCAGUGCAGGAGAAUCAGUCAAGGCUGCUGAACUCAAAAAUUCAGUCAACAGAAAUAUUUGGAAAAUGCAGAGAGAAACGUAAGAAAUAUCUGUAGUUAAAAGAAAGAAUCAAAUAGAUCACAGUUCUUUUACCUCGCUCCUCCUCCACAACUAUCAGAUUUCUUGGGCUUGACUGAACUGUAGGAGCAUGUGGGCUACAUGUUCAAACAGCUGUUUUCCAAAUUCUUUUCUUCUACCAAAUUUACUAUUAUAGCCGUUUUUGCAGCUAAAAGUCUGGAAGAAUGCUUAAAAGGAACUCUUCAAAGGAGCGUACAGAAGGUAUGUGCUCUAAUCCCUCUAUGGAAUAAUAAGAUUUGUUUGCAUGCUUCCCACUAAUCACUUGCAAAACGGACCCCUUCAUGUACUUCAUUUCUGAUUGCCAGUUUGAAAACGAAUUCCAAGCGUAAAUGGUUUGGUUAAAAGGAGGACUGUUGCAAUUGGAAAAUAAUUUAUCAGACUUUAACAAAAAUCGUUUUAACUGUCAUUCAUUUUAUAUCAUUUCCCUUUCUAAUUCUGCUCAUUAUGAAGAGAUGCAUACAUUUAAAUAAAGGCUUCCACUUUUAUACCUCAUCACCUCAGGCAUCCAAUCUUACAAUAUGGUCACACCACUAGAAUGUACUUUUGCUAUCUGUUUUAUGGCAGCAAAGGAUGUUAAAAAAAAAAAACAACCCACAUCAGAAUGCAAUUUCACAGCAUGAUUGAGCAGGAGAAGCUGUCUUGCAAAGAUGAAAUGUAUCAUUCAGAAUAAAGUAAUCUUUAAACAACAACACCAGAAAACGACUAGCAAACUCAGCAUCUCCUUUUGUUCUCUCACCUCCCCAUCAUUUCCAGUUUUUUGUAGUCCAGCAAUCCUCCCUGCUGAAUGGAGCAGGAACACUUCUGAGAAAGGUAAGGUUUGUUAUUUAUCUUUGAGUGCUUUCUGUUAAGCUCUUCCUGAUACGUUUCAAAUCCAGUGCAAAUACCUGUUACCAACAGUACCCAAAACAAAAUCGUGAGAUGAAUUAAGAGCCCAAAUUCCAUUCGCUUUCAUAGGUUGUGAUUUUUCUUAUUUAUUUUUUUUAAGAAUUUGAAUUUUUCAGUUUUUAUUCAAAACCAACAGGCCAGCACUUCUGAUCUGUUUCUGCGAACUAAAUGCUUCAGGCUAAAAGAUAAGUAAAACAAACCAGCACCACCCCGAGUAUCAUCUCUCUGCUAAGAGAUUUCAGCAGCUCUGUGCCAGGAACAACAUCAGCUUCAAUCCUCAGCUGAUUUUUUGGAUAGGAUGGUCCAAUCCAGAAGGCAAAAUGAUGCAGAGGGCUGGAAUGCAAUGGACUGGGACCUGAUGGUGGGUAAGCAUGAGGAGGAACCUCAGAACUGAACGGCACAAGAACGGUUCACAUUGUCAACAAUCUUAACAAUUUUUUUCCCUCCAGUUCCACUACCCGUCUAUUUUUAAGUCUUAAAGCUGAUCGCCACUGCCUCAUAAAGCCCUGGUUUUCCUCUGCUUUCUCUCUCACUCGGUGUAGGAGCCUGGCCAGGUGGAGCCACCCGCCGAUCUCACCCACCUGUCAGCAACCACCUGGUAAUGCUGUUUGGAGAUGCGUUACACAAACCCGGCUCACACAGGAUGGCAUAAAACCACCAUCCAGACUCACCAAAAUAAAAUUAUUCAGCUGAUAAAGACAGAAUAAAGAUCUGAGGCAACAGACCAAAGGGCCAUGGGGUGAUGCGGUCAUCUCUUCUCAUGGACUGCCAUCAGGCCAAACCACUUACAGCUGAUCUUUGGUAUUUUUUGCAACUGUGGUAAGCUUAAAAAAAAAAGAAUAAAGCAAAGCCACUUUUGUCCUGCUUUAUGUGCUGUUUUCUAUUGGAAUGUGUUUCCAGACUCCUAGAAGUUCAAUUAAAUCUCACGUCAUCUCACUGAAUGCCUUCCUCGUGCACCUUAUUACUCAAGCUACAAUUAUAUUCCACAUUACAUUAGUUAAUUAGCACUUCUCUUCCUGGUCUGUCUCACACUGCAUGAGAGCUAACCCUAACACCUCGUGUCAGCAAUACCAACCCCACUCAGA